rnacentral:lncRNA from 1 species
GUUUGAAAGAUUAGGUAUAUUUAGAGAGAUUUUAUGGUGAAGUAGGUCAAAAGGGAUCGGGUUAGACUCAAAUGUAUAAUCAUAUGCAAUUUGAACUAGAGAUAAUCCUUAAUAGCUUGUUCAAUUCUAAUCUGAAGUUCGAAGACAACUUGAUCUAGAGGGUGACUCUAAACAGGGCUAGGUUCUUUAUGAGGAGAUGUUGGGGGUGAAGAUUGAGAUGGUG